rnacentral:rRNA from 1 species
UCAUGGCUCAGAUUGAACGCUGGCGGCAGGCCUAACACAUGCAAGUCGAACGGUAACAGGAAGCAGCUUGCUUCUUUGCUGACGAGUGGCGGACGGGUGAGUAAUGUCUGGGAAACUGCCUGAUGGAGGGGGAUAACUACUGGAAACGGUAGCUAAUACCGCAUAACGUCGCAAGACCAAAGAGGGGGACCUUCGGGCCUCUUGCCAUCGGAUGUGCCCAGAUGGGAUUAGCUGUGGUGGGGUAACGGCUCACCUAGGCGACGAUCCCUAGCUGGUCUGAGAGGAUGACCAGCCACACUGGAACUGAGACACGGUCCAGACUCCUACGGGAGGCAGCAGUGGGGAAUAUUGCACAAUGGGCGCAAGCCUGAUGCAGCCAUGCCGCGUGUAUGAAGAAGGCCUUCGGGUUGUAAAGUACUUUCAGCGGGGAGGAAGGGAGUAAAGUUAAUACCUUUGCUCAUUGACGUUACCCGCAGAAGAAGCACCGGCUAACUCCGUGCCAGCAGCCGCGGUAAUACGGAGGGUGCAAGCGUUAAUCGGAAUUACUGGGCGUAAAGCGCACGCAGGCGGUUUGUUAAGUCAGAUGUGAAAUCCCCGGGCUCAACCUGGGAACUGCAUCUGAUACUGGCAAGCUUGAGUCUCGUAGAGGGGGGUAGAAUUCCAGGUGUAGCGGUGAAAUGCGUAGAGAUCUGGAGGAAUACCGGUGGCGAAGGCGGCCCCCUGGACGAAGACCU